rnacentral:rRNA from 1 species
UACGGGGGGGGCAAGCGUUGUUCGGAAUUAUUGGGCGUAAAGGGCGCGUAGGCGGCUUUGCAAGUGACGGGUGAAAUCCCUCGGCUUAACCGAGGAACUGCCUGUCAGACUGUGAGGCUUGAGACCGGGAGAGGUGAGUGGAAUUCCCAGUGUAGCGGUGAAAUGCGUAGAUAUUGGGAGGAACACCAGUGGCGAAGGCGGCUCACUGGACCGGAACUGACGCUGAGGCGCGAAAGCGUGGGGAGCAAACAGG